UGAGGUGAUGCUUCUUCGAUCCUCGUUCUUUCUUGCUACUGGGUUGUGCUGGGAACUCAAGGUGGGAUAACGCAUGGAAAUUUCAAAUGACCGACCUGACUUCUAAUGAUUCAAUUUGAUGAUAAGUUGCAGUAAGAUCAUGGUUAAUGUUCCGGGCGAAGUUUUCAGGGUCAUUUCGAGAUGGAAAUAGUUGUUACUAGGUGAUAGGGGUAAAAAACUGACUUGACAUAACACCCCGGAUUUGACGUAAUACAACCCCCCCCCCGCGUCGGACGCCCAGUACGGCCCGCUACCCCCGAAAGAGCAUUAACGAUGACGCGACACGCGCCCAUGCCUACCGUACUUGGGCCGCUACCCCCGAAAGAGCAUUAACGAUGACGCGACACGCGCCCAUGCCUACCGUACUUGGGCCUCCUCGGCUGACCCAUCAGGGCCGGCCGAGGCAGGCAAAACGCACCAGCUGGCACCCCCCAUACCCUGCGGCAGCUCGGCUCCACACACAACACCCACGACAGCGACAGACGCCACCGAAGGUACGGUCCGGCUCUUGCAGGAUGGCCCGUCAGGUAACAUCAAGCCCCCCUCAUAAAUACCCCCCUCGGCCCCCAGCGAGGGGGGAGGAUUUUCUCACUCAAUACAAUACUCCUCCCCAUUAACUUAAUCGUCGGAGGGGUCGGGCCGAGCCGCCAACCCGACCUGUGUGCAGGUACCCGAUCGCCGUUAACGCAGCAAGGCCAAGCUUUCCAGGCAGGUCUCGACAUCUGCCAUCUCAAGGCCUCGGGGAGGGACACGUCCGAUUCAAGUCAUUUGGAGCCCUGAACCAGCCGCGUCAGCCCCUAGGUCGCGGCUAAAAAGUUACUUACCGUAACAGAUUGGCGCUAGAAGGAGGGCCCAUCCAAAUGUCAGGCGAUCAGCAAAUCUACCCCGGCGGAUCCUCAAAUGCGGAGCCCCCCGCCUUAGGGGAACGGCGUGACGAAACCCACGACGAACGCCCCGCGGCGGUGUCGGAACGCUAUUGGCGGCUGUUCAACGACCCGGGCUUGUCGCCCCCUGGCGGCGCACCCGCCGACUCCUCGCAAGUGUCGACCGAGGCCUUUCAUGACCUCGCCCACCAGGUCCGAGCUCUGACAAGCAUGGUGUAGACCAUUGUCUCCCAACGAGCCCCUCCACACGCGGCGCGGCCCUCGCAGCAACAGGAGACCCCCGACCCGGCCCGCGCGCCACUCCCAGGGCCUCCGGGCUCGCCUCGAAACCCCACAACUCGACCGGGGAGCAGGGAAGCAGAGGACACGGCGAGCCGCCCCGAGCCCGAGGCUCCGACUGCCGACUCUACGAACGCCCUACGGGCCCAGCUGCGCCUCGUCAGUCAAAGGCUUGACGAGGUACAACAGGAGGUUCGUAAGUCAAAAGGAGAACUCGGGGCGGACGGACACCAAGGAUCUCCGUUCACCCCCGAGAUACAGGAUCAGGCGAUCCCGCCGCAUUUCCGCCUCCCCUCCUUGGACACGUAUGACGGCGCGACCGACCCCGCGGACCACGUGGUCGCUUUUCGGUCCCAGAUGGCGCUAUUCGGGACUUCAGACGCCCUGAUGUGUAGGGCAUUCCCGACGACCUUGCGAGGACCAGCCCGCGCGUGGUACAGUGGCCUGAAGCUAGGGACCAUCGCCUCCUUCGAUCAGCUCGCCAAGGAUUUUGAACUUAACUUCCUGGCGUACGCCCGACCGAAGCCGUCCAUGGCAUUGCUCUUAGGGCUCAACCAGAAGGAGGACGAGCCCCUUUCUCACUUUGUGAACCGGUUUACGACGCAAAUACGUGGAUUGUCGGAUGCUCACCCCUCUCUCUUGAUGUAGGCCUUUAUGACUGGUCUGCGGCCCUCCAGGUUCUUCUGGUCGCUCGUGGAGAGGCCCCCCGUCGCGGUCCCCGAGAUGCUCCAACGGGCCAGUCAGUUCAUCGCCGCGGAAGCCUGGAUGGUCGGAAGGCGGGAGGAGCACAGAAAGGUCAAGUCAGAGCCGCCCCGACAGCAAUAGCCCACCGCCUCCCGGCGAAAGUUGGACAGGCCCGACCCAAGGCCUCCUCUUCCCGCCUUGAACUCUUCCCGGACUGAGAUAUUCCUACACGAAAGGGGGAAGGGGCUGCUCAGGGACCCUCACCCGAUGAAGAACCCGCGAGAGCUCGCGGACCGCUCAAAGUAUUGCCGAUUCCAUCGACAACACGGGCACGACACCGAACAGUGUUACGAGUUAAAAAGACAAAUCGAGGAGCUCAUCCUCAGAGGUCACCUCGGCCAGUACCUCCGACCGAGCAAGGAGCAGUCUCCUCGUCCGGAGGGCCCUGUUGAGCAACACAUCGAUGUCAUAGCCGGGGGCCCCGCUUCCGGAGGAAGUUCUAUGUCGGGCAGGAAGGCCUAUGCCCGGGCCGCCCCCGACGAAGCCUCGGGACGCGGGCCCGAGCCCGAGAUCACCUUCCCAACCGGAGCUACCGAGCGACCCCACCACGACGACGCCCUGGUGAUAUCGGCUAGGGUAGCCAACGCGCAAGUAAGGAGAAUCAUGGUCGACACGGGGAGCUCGGCCGACAUACUCUACUUUGGCGCCUUCCAGAAGCUGGGCCUAGCCAGGGAAAGUCUAAGCCCGAUGUGCUCGGCGCUCACCGGCUUCACGGGAGAUUCAAUAUCGCCCCUAGGAGCCAUCACCCUGCCUCUGACCCUGGGGACCCCGCCGAAAUCAAAGACCGUCAUGACCACCUUUUUGGUGGUCGAUCUUCCCACCGCUUAUAAUGCCAUACUCGGUCGACCAACCCUCAACAAGGUCAGAGCCGUCGUCUCGACCUACUACCGGACCGUCAAAUUCCCGACUCGGGAGGGGGUCGGGGAAGUCACCGGAAGCCCCCAAGAGUCCAGGCGCUGCUACCUUACCUCCGUCUCAUUGAGCAAAAGGGCCAGGGGAGGGGCGCCUCUAGAAGAUCCCCGGGAAGCAAAGAAGCCGGCCCUCCACCCAGAGCCGAGGGGAUCCACUGUUGACGUCCCCUUGCGGGAAGCACGGCCGGAUCAGACGGUCAAGGUCGGAUCAGAGCUGCCCGAGCGGGAACGGGAACAGCUCGUCGGCCUUCUGCGGGAAAAUGCCGACAUUUUCGCCUGGUCCCCGUCAGACAUGGGGGGGGUCGACCCGAAGGUCGCGGAGCAUCAUCUCAAUAUCCCACCCGACGCUCGUCCGGUGAAGCAAAAGCCCCGGCGCCACGCACCUGACCGACAACGUGCCAUACAAGAGGAGGUGGACCGACUCUUGGCGGCCAGCUUCAUUGAAGAAGCCAAAUACCCUCAGUGGUUAUCCAAUGUAGUUCUCGUGAAAAAACACAAUAGAAGCUGGAGGAUGUGCGUCGACUACACUAGUCUCAACAGUGCGUGUCCUAAGGACUGCUAUCCCCUCCCGAAGAUCGACCAGCUGGUCGACGCGACGGCAGGGCACGCGCGCCUCUCCUUCAUGGACGCCUAUUCAGGAUACAACCAGAUCAGGAUGGCGCCCGAAGACAGGGAACACGGCUUUCCUUACCGAUCAAGGGAUCUACUUCUACAAGGUCAUGCCGUUCGGGUUGAAAAAUGCCGGAGCCACGUACCAGAGGACGGCAAACAAAAUGUUUGCCCCUCAAAUCGGGAGGAACAUGGAAGUCUACGUAGACGAUAUGAUUGUGAAAAGCAGAGAGGCCGGAACACACCUUGCCGACCUAGCCGAGGCCUUCGCCACGCUACGCAAGUUCGGCAUGCGGCUCAACCCCACAAAGUGCGCUUUCGGCGUCACCUCCGGCAAGUUCCUGGGGUUCAUUGUACACCAGAGAGGGAUCGACGCCAACCCGGAGAAAGUACAGGCAAUAAUCGAUAUGCAGUCUCCCCGGACGAUUAAAGACCUGUAG